UAAGCAAAUUGAGGCCCUAAUCAAGACAAUUACUCUUGCAUGUUGAUAUAUUCUGGAUCAUCUAAGCUUAAUACACCAUAAGGGAUCAAACAAGAAAGCUCGAGUCACUCCGGAUCACAUACAAACAACGACAAAGGUAAAGCGACUUGUUAAAUGGCGUUACUUGGAUCGAACACAUUCAUGAUGCACGCUUCCGUGAAGAAACUAGUUUUAGUCAAAACUUUUGUUAAAUGCUUUCCUUUUGUCCCAAACGGGUCUUUUGUAAGUUUUAUGAUCCG